rnacentral:rRNA from 1 species
UACAGAGGUCCCAAGCGUUGUUCGGAUUCACUGGGCGUAAAGGGUGCGCAGGUGGGCUGGUAAGUUCGAUGUGAAAGCCCCGGGCUUAACCCGGGAAAGGCAUUGGAUACUACUGGUCUGGAGGAUUGGAGGGGGGACUGGAAUUCUUGGUGUAGCAGUGAAAUGCGUAGAUAUCAAGAGGAACACCAGUGGCGAAGGCGAGUCCCUGGACAACACCUGACACUGAGGCACGAAAGCUAGGGGAGCAAACAGG